ACUGCUCAGUAACACGUGGACAACCUGCCCUUAGGUUGGGUAUAAACCCGGGAAACUGGGUAUAAUACCCGAUAGGUCUCGAUUGCUGGAAUGCAUCGAGAUUUAAAGCUCCGGCGCCUAAGGAUGGGUCUGCGGCCUAUCAGGUAGUAGUGGGUGUAGCGUACCUACUAGCCUACGACGGGUACGGGUUGUGAGAGCAAGAGCCCGGAGAUGGAUUCUGAGACACGAAUCCAGGCCCUACGGGGUGCAGCAGGCGCGAAAACUUUACAAUGCUGGCAACAGCGAUAAGGGAACCUCGAGUGCCAGGUUACAAAUCUGGCUGUCGAGAUGCCUAAAAAGCAUUUCAUAGCAAGGGCCGGGCAAGACCGGUGCCAGCCGCCGCGGUAACACCGGCGGCUCGAGUGGUAACCGUUAUUAUUGGGUCUAAAGGGUCUGUAGCCGGCCGGAUAAGUCUCUUGAGAAAUCUGGCAGCUUAACUGUCAGGCUUUCAGGAGAUACUGUCUGGCUCGAGGCCGGGAGAGGUGAGAGGUACUUCAGGGGUAGGGGUGAAAUCUUGUAAUCCUUGAAGGACCACCAGUGGCGAAGGCGUCUCACCAGAACGGACCUGACGGCAAGGGACGAAAGCUAGGGGCACGAACCGGAUUAGAUACCCGGGUAGUCCUAGCCGUAAACGAUACUCGCUAGGCGUCGGCCACGGUGCGACCGUUGUCGGUGCCGUAGGGAAGCCGUGAAGCGAGCCACCUGGGAAGUACGGUCGCAAGGCUGAAACUUAAAGGAAUUGGCGGGGGAGCAC
rnacentral:rRNA from 1 species